rnacentral:lncRNA from 1 species
CCCAUUCACCUCCUCCACUUUCUCCAGAUUCAGCUUCUUUGCGUCUUCUUUCUCUGUUCUUUCGGAUCAGUGUAUCCAGCUCUGCCAUCUUUCGCGUGCUCUUGUUCUUCUUCCCUUUCUUUCGUUUUUUUCCUUAUUCUUCCUCCUCUCCGUUCUUCGAUGGUUUCUCCGUCACUGGCGAUGCCUCUACUGUCGGUGGUGUCCACAGCCUCAUAGAGCGUGAGC